CGGGACCCCUGCUGAGCAGCCCCGGGCGCCGGCCGCCCCUCGAGCCUGCUCGGGAUGCGUUCAGUGGGUCUGGCCUUUGGCUCCUGUUUAAACAGCGAUUGUCAUGCAAUGGAGGCCGUCCGGCUCCUGGAUGCCACUUGGUCGUUGUCACUCCGGAUGCCCGCGUAGGGCGUUUAUCUGGACCAGAGCAUCGGCAGCUGAGACCUGGCUGUGGUUCACAAGCUCGUGAAUUAGCAGGUUCUUAACUAGACUUCGGGCUCCUUGAGGAUAUUCAGUUUUGUAUGUUUGAAUAUCCUCUCACCAUGUUCAGCAUAAAGUACCAUUCUUAAUGAUUAUCCUCAACAAGACAGGUGUGAGAGGGUUGCUGUUGUAUUGCAAUCAUGGUGCAGAAAUACCAGUCCCCAGUGAGGGUGUACAAAUACCCCUUUGAAUUAAUUAUGGCUGGAUGUGUACCUGAAACAUUUUAUGAAAGAGAAAUCAAAACUUCUUGGCCACACACAAACGAAAGCCUCACACCUGACAAGGAAGGCGCACCAGGGAACCUUCUGGGGGGAUGGUUGCAGAUGUCCUGUGUUUUGACAAAGGUGUGGGGGACUCAUUUUUUAAAUUGAGUUAUAAUUUACAUACAAUGAAGUGGUCACAUGUCAGGUGUACAGUUUGAUCAGUUUUAACCAAAGGGCUGCUCUUCCUGGCUUGCGGGGAGGAGAAAUUAAUCAGUGAAGGACACUGAUUGAUUGUGCCUUAAAGGGUUUAAGAUCUCACGGGAGCAUAGUGAUAUGAUCCCACAGAUUAGGAACUUAGAAUGGGAUGUAUAAUUCUAGGGUGCUUGAGUUGAAGUGUUUCUUUUUGAAAUUUCUAAGAUAAAGCACAAACUUUAAAAGUUAAACAUUGUCAAGUGCAUCUCCCCCUCCCCCUGCAUGUUAAUGGUUCCUUAAUAAAGGCUUCAAAGGGAAAAUGAAGGAGGCGGGAGGCCACCUAGUGUAGGAGGGCAGGGUGGGAGAGGUCAAGGUCAGGAGCCCUUAAGGAGAGUUGUGGGAGAGAGGGAAGAACAUGAGAGGCCACCUUCUGAACCCGAUUUUUGUGGUGACAGCCGCAGGCGAGAUAGUGGCUUGGACUCUGGUCUUUCUUCUGCUGAGGACAGCUGUCCUCAUUGUGACCAGUGGGAACACACGAUAGAAGAGGCUCCAUUAGCUCCUGUGCAUCCCAGGAGUUGCCACCCUGUCCAGUGCCGUUUCUGUCUGGGCUUAUUUCCAUUACACAGCAGAUGUGGUCACCUCAUUCUUUGCUCUCUCCUUUCCUCGCCCUCAUCCCAGUUUCACUGUGCCCUAGGAGUGCUGGCUUUCUCCAGGAACCCCUUCAGUGUCUCUGUCCCUUCAGCAGACACACCCUUUAGACUGUGCCUUCAGGAACCAAGGCACCUGGUUCUGUCCCUGUCUGUCCCAGCACUGCCAUCGUUGCAGCGUAAGCCCCUCCCUUUGCAGGGAAAGACCAGGGGUCCCUUGUUCCUUUGCGCACUCACAUCUUUCAUCCCUUAGGUCACUUUGUGCUCCCCUGCCACACACUUUCCAUUGUGUGUGUCCUGUGUUGAAGGCUUUCCUGUUAUCCGUCCUCGCACGUCUCAGCUCCUGUGCUUUUUUCGGCAAGGCCAUUUGUGGCUGUGUUCUGCCUGGUCCGUUUAACCUUAUUUCAUAAUUAUGCACACUUCCCAGCUUGAACUUGAACAUUUGUUUCUGUCUUGUUCCCGUUGGCCCGGACACACAGUGCUGUUUCCUGCCCCCUCUUUUCUUUUUUCUUUUCAGACUUCUUUGCCUCAGAUGUUUGCCAUUCCCCAUCUGUCUCUCCAGAUCUUACCCAUCUUGUCCUUCCACACGUCCCCGAUGCCUCUGAAGAUGCCAUUCAUGUUUCUCUCCCUUCCCCGGGACACAUUCUUAAUGUUGGAGUUGGUGUUAGGUACUUUCACUUGCAAUGGGAGUUUCUUUAUUCACAAAGCCUCUUGAGUGUUGCUCUCAUACUAUUUUGUGUGUCCUUCCAGGGCAGUGACCUUGACAGUUAUUUGUCUUGUUCUCCCAAGCGCGGGUGCUAAGGACAUAGUCUGUGGGCAUGCAGAUGUGUGUGACUUGUUCACACGAACUGUGAGGAUGAGGACUUGGUGAAUGGUGGAAAUUCAGAUCCAAACUGUAUCUCCAGGGCAUGAUGGCGCCUGUCUGUAGUGCAGUUACUUGAGAACUUGGGAGGGUGAGUUGGGAGGAUUUCUUGAGGUUCCAGGAGUUCGAGACCAACUUGGGCAACAUAGCAAGAUCCUGUCUCUAUAAAAAAAUAAAAUUAAAAUAAAUGGUCAUGGUGGUGUGUGCCUAUAGUCCUAGCUUCUCAGGAGGCUGAAGAGAGAGGAUCCUUUGAGCCCAGGAGUUCAAGGCUGCAGUGAGCUAUGAUCACACCACUGUACUCCAGCCUGGGUUACAGAGCAAGACCCUGUUUCAAAAAUAAAUAAGGAAAUAAAAUGCAUCUCUAAUUCUGUUUUCAGACAAGAGAUUUAUGUUUUCUACAUGGAACAGAAGUAACAUGCUAUGGUCUUUCAGUUAACCAGUGGGUCACCUGGGAGCAAAGCCCUUUUGUGAUAAAGUUGGCUGAUUUGUGUUUUUUUUUUUUUUUUUUAAUUUUCGUAAACGUUGCAAAACCUUGUUGGUAAACACUCUCCUGGCAGUUUAAGUGGUGUGCUUUUCCAGGUUGAAUAACCAAAAAACCUGCUUACCAGUGUAUAGGUUUUGUUUUUGUUUUUGUUUUUAAAUACUGCUCCUUGCGGAGCAGGGCUGACCCACAGGCAGUGCUCUCAGAGUAACCACAGUUGUCGAUUAAAUGGCCCGAGUACAAAAGAAUUUGUUUCGCUCUCCUGCUCCUCUUGCUUUAUUUUGUUUUGUACUCUGGCAUUUGGGGUUUUUUCCCCCUUUCCUCUCAGGUGUCUCAUGUCUUCCCAUUAAGACCGGAGGAAGGAAGAGAAAGAGAUUUGCUUUGAGGCCAGGUACAAACCUGUGCCUGCCACAGACCAGCUUUGUAACCUGCUAGGCCAGUGACUAGUGUAAGACUGCUGUGAGGAGGUGCUGGAGUGAAACAGACAGCAGGGGUGAGGGUAGGCAAGGGCGACCUGGUGAUGCCACAGUCUCCCCCUCUCCCUUCCAGAUACCCUGCCCCUUCUCACCUCCAAAUACCAGGGGAACUGAAUCAGUUUAUAAGUGAGUAAAUGACUAUGAAUGUGCAUCUCUGUUAGAUCAAAUAGGCAUUUAUAUUGAAGCUCUUUCAUCCAUUCCAAUUUCAUAUACAAAACAGGGAGACGUGAGGGAUCCCAGGAUGGACUCGCGACUCAUAUAUCUUACUUCAGGGUGAGGAGACACUGCUCUUCCUUAAUCAGGGCCUCCGUGGAGUGCGAAAUGCCCGAGGGAGAACACUUUCUGACGGGCAGCUGUGCCCAUGUUGGGCAGCUGUGCCCAUGUCGUUCCUCUGGUUGGUUGGGCAGGGGGCACAGGUCCUGCUUUGCCCUUUCUCCAUCUUUGUGGCAGCUAGCUGCGUUCAGAAACCAUCCAUCCGCCCACCCGUACCUUGCCUGAAUAUUCUCUGAGCUGCCUGUCCCCUUUUCUCUAACUUUUUCUUCCUCUGACUGAGGUCCUGUGCACGUCAGAUUUUCAGCAUUGUUUUAGUUACAGGAAAUAUUUUCAGUCCAUCGUUCAUCUUCUCAGAGCAUGUCUUCUUUCUCUCAUCCUGGAUUUCAUCCUUGGGCCUUUUUGUAUUUCUGAUUCUGGUUUUUUUAGUUUCUGAUGGUUAGGUGUGAUAUUGAAAUACAUCUUUUCAUUCAUCAAGGUAUUCUUAGAUCUUCCAGCAGCCUAAUGUGCAGUAGAAUUUGUUUUUACCCAAACGAAUAAGCAAUCUACUUUUUGGGGUAGGUGACUUAAAACCCAACUUUGUUCAAGUCUGGAAGUGGAGGGAAAUGUUCCAUUUUCUCCUAUGACAUAUAAAAGGACCUGGUCAAUCAGUGGGAGACUGUGCUGCCCUCGUUUGUAAAGUUGUGAAUGCCAUCGCGUGAGUCCUAUUGCAUUUCAUCAAAGCUGGGGUGGUGUAAUUAGUCAGAUUUAGUUGGUUUUGAAAAUGGACAAUUAGAGUGAGCUUUCAUCACGUGCUCCUUUGUACAGAGCCAGACCUUCUCCCUUGUGUUCCGUCUCAGCAUUAUGCAUUCCAGUUGGUUUUUCCCCAUGCUUUUCCUGAGCUGUAUCCAAGUGUCUUUAAUGCGCUAGAGUGAAGGCAGUUGUGGUGCAGUAGGAAAAUAUUUCAAGCAGAAAUAAGAUGUAUCAGAUUCAGCUUCUCGCCUCUCUGAUUUACCUGGUUUUUAUAAAAACAAACAAACCCCAAAACCUUGUUUUAUGGAAAAUUUCAAGCAUACACAGGUAGAGAGAAUCAUAUAAUAAAUGCCAUUUACCCAUCACCCAGUUUCAAUGUUACCAGCAUCUUGCCGGGCCUGACACAGUGGCUUAUGCCCGUAAUCCCAGCACUUUGGGAGGCCAAGUGGGGAGGAUGGCUUGAGGCCAGGAGUUUGAGACCAGCCUGGGCAACGUGGUAAGACCCUGUCUCUAAAAAACAAAACAAACUCUUGCCAAUAUUUUUAUCAGUUGUACCCACUUUUUUCUUUCCUGGUGUAUUAAAGCAGAUUUCAGGUAUCUUGUUAAUUUGUUGACAAAUACUUCAGUGUACAUCUCUAACCUUUUGCUUAUAUUAUUUUUAUUUUUUUGAGAUAGGGUUUUGCUUUGUCACCUAGGCUGGAGUGUAGUGGCACGAUUAUAGCUCACUGCAGCCUCGAACUCCUGGGCUCAAGGAGCCCUGCCUCAGCCUGCUGAGUAGCUGGGACUACAGGCUCACACCACCAUGCCAGCUAAUUUUUCUUUUUUUAAAUUUGAAAUUAUAUUCCUGUUGCUUAAGAUUACUAAGGCAGACUUUUUUUUAAACCAAAAUAUUCAGUCUCCAUAGAGACUGUCAGAAAUGGUCAGUGCUGGCUGGGCACGGUGGCUCAUGCCUGUAAUCCCAGCCCUUUGGGAGGCUGAGGCGGGUGGAUCAUUUGAGGUCAGGAGUUUGAGACCAGCCUAGCCAACAUGGUGAAACCUUGUUUCUACUAAAAAUACAAAAAUCAGCCGGGCGUGGUGGCAGGCAGCUGUAAUCCCAGCUACUUAGGAGGCUGAGGCAGGAGAAUCGCUUGAACCCAGGAGGCAGAGGUUGUAGAGAGCCGAGGUCAUGCCACUGCACUCCAGCCUGGGUGACAGAGCGAGACUCCGUCUCAAAAAAAA
rnacentral:lncRNA from 10 species